GUGUCUGUUCCGACAGGAGCCGACUUAAUAAGGAAGCGGGUGAAAAUCCCGCGCGGAGCCGCCGCUGUAAGGGGGAGCCGAUGCAGAUAUGCCACUGGGAAAAGGUCUUGCCUGUCCUGGGAAGGCUGCAAAGGCGUGGAACCCAAGCCAGAAGACUUGCCUGUGGGAA
rnacentral:ncRNA from 1 species